UAAUUACUCCCUCCGUCCCAAAAUUCUUGUCCUAGAUUUGUCUAGAUACGGGUGUAUCUAAUACUAAAACAUGACUUGAUACAUCCGUAUUUAGAUAAAUCUAAGACAAGAAUUUUGGGACGGAGGGAGUACCUU
rnacentral:pre_miRNA from 1 species